CGUGUAGGCGGCCAAGCAAGUCAGAGGUGAAAGCCCUGGGCUCAACCUGGGAACUGCCUUUGAAACUGCUUGGCUUGAGACCGGAAGAGGAUGGCGGAAUUCCCAGUGUAGAGGUGAAAUUCGUAGAUAUUGGGAAGAACACCGGUGGCGAAGGCGGCCAUCUGGUCCGGUUCUGACGCUGAGGCGCGAAAGCGUGGGGAGCAAACA
rnacentral:rRNA from 1 species